ACCCGUUUAGCUCAUUCGGUAGAGCGCCUCACAAGUACUGUUUGAUAUCCGGGGGAUGACGAGGUCAGUCGUUCAAGUCGACUACUGGUAA